rnacentral:rRNA from 1 species
UACGUAGGGGGCAAGCGUUGUCCGGAAUCAUUGGGCGUAAAGGGCGCGUAGGCGGCACGGCAAGUCAGAAGUGAAAGGCCUGGGCUCAACCGAGGAACUGCUUUUGAGACUGCCGAGCUAGAGUGCGGAAGGGGCAACCGGAAUUCCCAGUGUAGCGGUGAAAUGCGUAGAUAUUGGGAAGAACACCUGAGGCGAAGGCGGGUUGCUGGGCCGACACUGACGCUGAGGCGCGAAAGCCAGGGGAGCAAACGGG